UGCGGGAUCGUAUAAUGGUCGUACAACGGACUCUGAAUCCGUUUAUCAUGGUUCGAAUCCAUGUCCCGCAGCUA
rnacentral:tRNA from 1 species